CGUGCGGUUCUAUUUUGUUGGUUUCUAGGACCGCCGUAAUGAUUAAUAGGGACAGUCGGGGGCAUCAGUAUUCAAUUGUCAGAGGUGAAAUUCUUGGAUUUAUUGAAGACUAACUACUGCGAAAGCAUUUGCCAAGGAUGUUUUCAUUAAUCAGGAACGAAAGUUAGGGGAUCGAAGACGAUCAGAUACCGUCGUAGUCUUAACCAUAAACUAUGCCGACUAGGGAUCGGACGAUGUUACUUAUUGACUCGUUCGGCACCUUACGAGAAAUCAAAGUGCUUGGGCUCCAGGGGGAGUAUGGUCGCAAGGCUGAAACUUAAAGAAAUUGACGGAAGGGCACCACCAGGGGUGGAGCCUGCGGCUUAAUUUGACUCAACACGGGGAAACUCA
rnacentral:rRNA from 1 species